GGGGGCGUAAUGGUUUCGACGGGGGUUAUGAGGCUCAGGUUGCAUGUCGUGGAUUCCGUCACCAUGUAAAACGGCGGAGACUUUUACAAAAGCCAACAACGAACUAGCACUUGCCGCUUAAAUAAAGCGGCACGCUACUCUUGAAAGUGUCUGUAGUCAGGAGCAAGCGUCAUAAAGCAGGCUGGUAUGGGGUGAUGCCUCUGCACCUUGUACGAGAAAAGAGGGGAUUGGGUAUCGGAAGACUUGCCUGUACAGUCUAAUGGUCCCGAAAUAGAAAAAAGAACAGGCUAAACAUGUAGACGCUUGAGAGUAGUGCUUUCGGACGCGGGUUCGAUUCCCGCCGCCUCCACCA
rfam:Candidatus Magnetobacterium bavaricum SAG43311, whole genome shotgun sequence.